rnacentral:rRNA from 1 species
CAGCUCCAAUAGCGUAUAUUAAAGUUGUUGCAGUUAAAAAGCUCGUAGUUGGAUCUAGGGACGCGCAUUUCAAGCGCCCGUGUCGUCGGGUCAAACCGGCGACUGCGUUGGCGUUGCGGGCUCGGUCCGUCGGUGCCCCACAAAGGGCUACUGGCGUGUCAACCGGCCCGCCCGUCCCCUCCUUCUGGAUUCCCGUUCCUGCUAUUGAGUUAGUGGGGACGUCACAGGGGGCUCAUCGUCGUGCGGCGUCAAAACCGUGGCGGCGGUGGGUCCCUGGGGCCCAGAUCGUUUACCGUGAAAAAAUUAGAGUGUUCAAAGCAGGCAGAUCCAAUUUUCUGCCACCGAAUACAUUAGCAUGGGAUAAUGGAAUAGGACCCUGUCCUCCUAUUUUCAGUUGGUUUUGGCAGCGCGAGGACUAGGGUAAUGAUUAAUAGGGAUAGUUGGGGGCAUUAAUAUUUAAUUGUCAGAGGUGAAAUUCUUGGAUUUAUGAAAGAUUAACUUCUGCGAAAGCAUCUGCCAAGGAUGUUUUCAUUAAUCAAGAACGAAAGUUAGGGGAUCGAAGACGAUCAGAUACCGUCGUAGUCUUAACCAUAAACGAUGCCGACCAGCGAUUAGGAGACGUUGAAUACAAAACACCACCAUCGGCGCGGUCGUCCUUGGCGUCGGUCCUUCACGGGGCCGGCGCGAGGGCGGCUUAGCCCGGUGGCACCGGUGAA